GGGCUCACACAAGCGGUGGAGGAUGUGGCUUAAUUCGAGGCUACGCGAAGAACCUUAUCCUAGAUUUGACAUGCUUGAGAAUCCCUAUGAAAAUAGAGAGUGCCCUUCGGGGAGCUCUUGCACAGGUGCUGCAUGGCUGUCGUCAGCUCGUGUCGUGAGAUGUCGGGUUAAGUCCCUUAACGAGCGAAACCCUUAUCUCUAGUUGCCAGCGGGUAAUGCCGGGGACUCUAGAGAGACUGCCGGUGUCAAACCGGAGGAAGGUGGGGAUGACGUCAAGUCCUCAUGGCCUUUAUGUCUAGGGCUGCACACGUCCUACAAUGGUACGGACAAACGGACGCAAUACCGCGAGGUGGAGCAAAUCCUAGAAACCGUGCCUCAGUUCGGAUUGCAGGCUGCAACUCGCCUGCAUGAAGCCGGAAUC
rnacentral:rRNA from 1 species